rnacentral:rRNA from 1 species
GAUGAACGCUGGCGGCGUGCCUAAUACAUGCAAGUCGAGCGAACAGACGAGGAGCUUGCUCCUCUGACGUUAGCGGCGGACGGGUGAGUCACACGUGGAUAACCCACCUAUAAGACUGGGAUAACUUCGGGAAACCGGAGCUAAUACCGGAUAAUAUAUUGAACCGCAUGGUGCAAUAGUGAAAGACGGUUUUGCUGUCACUUAUAGAUGGAUCCGCGCCGCAUUAGCUAGUUGGUAGGGUAACGGCUUACCAAGGCAACGAUGCGUAGCCGACCUGAGAGGGUGAUCGGCCACACUGGAGCUGGGACACGGUCCAGACUCCUACGGGAGGCAGCAGUCGGGUAUCUUCCGCAGUGGGCGAAAGCCUGACGGAGCAACGCCGCGUGAGAGAUGACGGUCUUCGGAUCGUAAAACUCUGUUAUUGGGGAAGAACAAAUGUGUAAGUAACUAUGCACGUCUUGACGGUACCUAGUCAAAAAGCCACGGCUAACUACGUG